AGAACUUGUGACUCAUUAAAGCAACAAAUACGAACAAGAUCGAUAUCACCCUCCUGAACCACUCCGAGCACUAUUGGCCUGCAAAAAAAAAUCAUCUGAUCCAAGCCGGGAAAGAGGGGAGCCCCGGGGAAACGGGCUCUGGCGCAAGACCCUCAGGUUGAAGAUGAUGUCAAACUUGAUUGAACGUCCACCUUUGAUGGCUUUACCUGAGACCUAACAACAUCUGCGUCUUACUCACAGUAGCUCUGAAAGGUGAUACGUGUGGAGGAGCAAAGCCGCCUGCCAUCCGCGCCCAGAUAGGGAGACGCGAGCUCCAACCAAAACAUCAGAGCUUCAGGAAUCAAUAAAAUGCUUUUUUU